GUAUUCGUUUGCGGGGGCAGUAACGUCGAGUACACGGAAAAGGAUAUCGGUCCUCGCUUCUCGCAUUCGCUUGUGUUCUAUUCGCUUCUCAACGCGACCGUAAUCUUUCGGACGGGAAGAAAGAAGAAGACGAACGAGAGAAUAUCACGAUCCUAGCGCGAAGAAUCGACAUGUGCUCGUUCGUGAACCGCAGAACUAACAACGUGCAGAGAUGAUGUUGAAAUGUUUUCAGAGCACCCAAUUAUAUGAUUUUUAUGUAAUUACCGAGUUAUAAGGGUUCAAAGUUAUUGACUACAAGAACAUUGUUGUGUGCCUGCGGACAUAGAGUACGUUUCGCUUUGGAAAUUUCUCAUUACUGGGUAAAGGGAACGAUGAAAAGUAAUUGGGGAUAAUGACUAAUCAUCAGCUUUACCGUACCAAGGAUUAAAAACGUCCCAAAGUAAUUAGGGUUUUAUGAUGGUAUUGUAUGGCGAGUCGACGGCAGUAAUCCUAAUAGAACACAAAACAGACCGGUACCAGUUGUACAAAUGGCGAAGAUAUUGAAAUUAUCAUUGUUAUAAUACUGCUUUACUAGGUAGAUCAAUAUAAACAAACUGUUUUCGAGGAAGUUAAAGAACUUCAAAAAAUCAUAAAACAGUAAUACAUGAAAGUUACAGAUAUGUUACUGGCAUU